GACGAACGCUGGCGGCGUGCUUAACACAUGCAAGUCGAACGGAAAGGCCCUGCUUUUGUGGGGUGCUCGAGUGGCGAACGGGUGAGUAACACGUGAGUAACCUGCCCUUGACUUUGGGAUAACUUCAGGAAACUGGGGCUAAUACCGGAUAGGAGCUCCUGCUGCAUGGUGGGGGUUGGAAAGUUUCGGCGGUUGGGGAUGGACUCGCGGCUUAUCAGCUUGUUGGUGGGGUAGUGGCUUACCAAGGCUUUGACGGGUAGCCGGCCUGAGGGGGUGACCGGCAACAUUGGGACUGAGAGACGGCCCAGACUCCUACGGGAGGCAGCAGUGGGGAAUAUGGCACAAUGGGCGGAAGCCUGAUGCAGCAACGCCGCGUGCGGGAUGACGGCCUUCGGGUUGUAAACCGCUUUCGCCUGUGACGAAGCGUGAGUGACGGUAAUGGGUAAAGAAGCACCGGCUAACUACGUG
rnacentral:rRNA from 1 species